GCGUCCGCGUGAAUGCUCCGGCAUCCACGUGGGGCGUGGGUCCUACGCAGCGGCCUGGAAACCCUAGGAUGCCGUGCCAUAAAGGAGCAGGUAGUGCGUCCCUCUUUAUAGGGGUGUGGCCCUGUAUUCACAGCCGGCAAACGCUGCUACUUCCUAUCAGACCGCAUGAACCCGUAAUGGGGGAUGGACUUAGGGGGGCACGCAUAUAGGUUAGGGUACUCUCCUGAUCCUUCGGGGUUGGGGGGGCGUACCGGACAGUCGGCAACUGUGCAUGGCCCUCCGGGGCCGGCCUUUUGCCCAGCAAUGGACCUGACGAUACUGAAAGCGUGUUUGGGGCUGGUAUCCUGGGACCUUCACGUGGUGGCCCUGUUUAAACUAAUCUUACCAGGAUGUGCUUCCAGAAGGGUUACAUCUAAAAACAAGGUACAAGCUACCACGGAUGAGAAGCUUACUGGAGAGAAGUGGGAAAGUAGCGAUGAGCCAACGACUUCAGGGGAAUCCAAUCGUCCAAUCCAAGGUCAGUUUUUUUUCUUCGGCAAAUUGAACAGUUUCAAAACUGAACAACUUCCAGUUUAAUUGAUUAAUUUAAAAAAGAAAUUCACCAAUUUGCCACUGGAUAAUGUUGUUUUGCAAGUUAUUUUGUUAUUGCAGUUUAACCCCCCCCCCCCCCCCUCCCCACUGGAGAUGAGAGGCUGUAGAGGAAUUUGUUGUGAUGACAAUGAAUCAUUCUAAUCAAAGUCAGUAUGGGCUCUGAGAAACACGCAGGAGACAAGAUCUGCCGCAGUCAUUGUUAGCAAGAACUACCAGUUUAAUAAGGUGGUCCACACAGACAGCACGAUAGCCUUGCAGAGGAGAGCGUUUCUCACGAGUGGAUUUACAACUGACUGACCAAUCAACCUUCAUCAGAACUUUUUGAAGUAGUGGUGGGAGGUUGCUGACAGCCAGGUGAUGACCAGCAUCUUUCACCAGUAGUCUCCUGGUCUUCCACUGCAUCUCCAAUUUCUUGCCACCACAGACGGAUGUUUCAGUGAAGUAGUUAUGCUCCAACCUCUCUGCCAUCUGCCAUGCGAUGGGCGCUAGAGCACACCCCGUUGAGGAAGUCGGUAGCUAGGGGUGGAGGAGCAAAGUUCAAGUUAACAAAGCUGAUGUUUAAUGGUAGCUACUAGAGAUCCUGGAUGCUGACUCUGCCUAGGUUUUCACAAUACCUGGACCUAAAAGAUGAGCUGCUUUUGAUGCUGAAAUGCACUGACACGGCACUACUUUGUGACAUCACACAUCAGUCUUUGAUAAGACAGGACCUGAGUAACCUGAGUAAGUCAUCAGGCGCCUGUUAUCAGAACCACAAGAAGAGGAACGCAUGUGUUUCAGGUUUUCCUGCUCUUACCAAGAAGACGUUGCUCUUGAUGCUGGAAUGCCCUGAAACUGCACCACUUUGUGAUGACAUCAAACAUCAGAGAAACUACAUUCAAGGUGCCUUGGGCCUAUUUAGAAUGUACUAGGCUGUUAAAUGAGAAAAAAAGGUUAUAUGGGCAAUUCCAUGCUGGUGAAGACCAAACAAUUAUUCUACGGUUUGUUCAAGUUUGAUUUGCUGAAGUGACACAAUAUAUCUUGGCGUUUUUAAAACUGAAAUAGUUUCGUCCCAUGCGCGCACUAUUUUGUGAGUUAUGGUACACCAUCACAUCAAAGUCUGCAAUGACGUCAUGAUGACUUAUGGAUGCACUGGUAAGGAAUUUUGAAUUGGUCUUUUACUAUCUAUUCAGUAAUAAUUUCUCUCAAUUUUUUUAUGUUACCAUUUUGAAGGCAUCUUUGUGAAAAUGAAUAUUAUUUUUUAGAUGUCAAUAUAAGUCAGAUUUUGCUUGAAAAAUGAGAUACAAAUUUAAUUAUUUAUAAGUCAUAAAAAAUUGAUUUUUUUUUUGUAAAUACCAACAUUUUCUGAGCAAUGAAUUAUUCUGUUCAAAAAUUCUUAGCAGUUUGUUUACAUUUUUGUUUGAUGCUUAGGCCAGCCAUGAAAUAUAGUAAUGUCAGCCACAUGUAAUGUCAUGUAACGUAGUGUCAGUCACAUUAUUGCACAGUCCGUAGUUGAGGAAAAUACAAGUACACAUGUUAUUUAAGUCCAUACACAUACAAGUAGUAAACUCUUUGAACCAAAAUGCAACUGAGUGCCAAGCCACUGUCUGAGCAACUUAUAUAUUGUUCACAAAACAAGUGUUUUAAAAAUUUAAUUUGGACAUCUGUAACCCUUUGAUAAAAUGAAAAAUAUAUUUGUUUUGCUUUCGGGCACAAGUAGUCUAUCAUUGUCCAUUCUGAUGGGGUGGGGUGGGGGAAGUCUUCCCUGUGAGAACUGAAUUAUUGUUUGGCACCAAAUAGUUUGAUUUUCAUAAUUCCCUAUUUAUUACUAAACAUUGGCUAACUUAUUUCAUUUGUUUUGUUGUUGGUACAUUGGAUAACUUUGGUAUUGCUAGAAAAAUAGCAAGUAAAAUUGU